CCUACGGGGUGCAGCAGUGGGGGAUAUUGCACAAUGGGGGGAACCCUGAUGCAGCGACGCCGCGUGGGUGAAGAAGCGCCUCGGCGCGUAAAGCCCUGUCAGCAGGGAAGAAAAUGACGGUACCUGAAGAAGAAGCCCCGGCUCACUACGAGCCAGCAGCCGCGGUAAUACGUAGGGGGCAAGCGUUAUCCGGAUUUACUGGGUGGAAAGGGGGCGCAGACGGCGAUGCAAGCCAGGAGUGAAAGCCCGGGGCCCAACCCCGGGACUGCUCUUGGAACUGCGUGGCUGGAGUGCAGGAGGGGCAGGCGGAAUUCCUGGUGUAGCGGUGAAAUGCGUAGAUAUCAGGCGGAACACCGGUGGCGAAGGCGGCCUGCUGGACUGCAACUGACGUUGAGGCCCGAACGCGUGGGGAGCAAACAGGAUUAGAUACCCGUGUAGUC
rnacentral:rRNA from 1 species